rnacentral:rRNA from 1 species
UAUUGGGCGUAAGAGCUCGUAGGCGGCUUGUCGCGUCUGCUGUGAAAGCCCGGCGCUCAACCCCGGGUCUGCAUCUGGGUACGGGCAGGCUGGAGUGCACUAAGGGAGACUGGAAUUCCUGGUGUAGCGGUGAAAUGCGCAGAUAUCAGGAGGAACACCGAUGGCGAAGGCACGUCUCUGGGCUGUAACUGACGCUGAGGAGCGAAAGCAUGGGGAGCGAACAGGAUUAGAUACCCUGGUAGUCCAUGCCGUAAACGUUGGGCACUAGGUGUGGGGGGCAUUCCACCUCCUCCGCGCCGCAGCUAA